rnacentral:tRNA from 1 species
AGAGAGGUGUCCGAGUGGUUGAAGGAGCACGCCUGGAAAGUGUGUAUACCAGCAAUGGUAUCGAGGGUUCGAAUCCCUUCCUCUCUG